rnacentral:rRNA from 1 species
UAGGGAAAUCUUCGGCAAUGGACGAAAGUCUGACCGAGCAACGCCGCGUGAGUGGAGAAGGUUUUCGGAUCGUAAAACUCUGUUGGUAGAGAAGAACGUUGGUGAGAGUGGAAAGCUCAUCAAGUGACGGUAACUACCCAGAAAGGGACGGCUAACUACGUACCAG